UCGGGCAUCAGCUGCGGGCAGAUCAGAUGGACGUGGCAGUCGAUCGCGCCCGCGGUCAGGAUCCGUCCAUUGCCGCGGAUGAUUUCGGUGGACGGGCCGACCACCAGGUCGGGAUGCACGCCCGACAUGACGUCGGGGUUGCCGGCCUUGCCGAUCGCGACGAUGCGGCCGUCGCGAAUCCCGAUGUCGGCCUUGAUGAUUCCCCAAUGGUCGAUGAUCACCGCGCCCGUGAUCACGGUGUCUGGCGCGCCCUCGGCGCGGCUCGCACGCCCCUGGCCCAUCGA
rnacentral:sRNA from 1 species